GUGGGGAAUCUUCCGCAAUGGACGAAAGUCUGACGGAGCAACGCCGCGUGAGUGAAGAAGGUUUUCGGAUCGUAAAGCUCUUUCGUUAGGGACGAACGUGCUCUUUGUGAAUAAUGAGGAGUAAUGACGGUACCUAAAUAAGAAGCCACGGCUAACUACGUGCCAGCAGCCGCGGUAAUACGUAGGUGGCAAGCGUUGUCCGGAAUUAUUGGGCGUAAAGCGCGCGCAGGCGGGAUAUCAAGUCUGUCUUAAAAGUGCGAGGCUCAACCUCGUGAGGGGACAGAAACUGGUAUUCUUGAGUGUCGGAGAGGAAAGUGGAAUUCCAAGUGUAGCGGUGAAAUGCGUAGAGAUUUGGAAGAACACCAGUGGCGAAGGCGACUUUCUCGACGAUGUCUGACGCUGAGGCGCGAAAGCUAGGGGAGCGAACGGGAUUAGAAACCCGUGUAGUCC
rnacentral:rRNA from 1 species